AUAUGUACCUGGCAGGGGAGAUACUAUGAUCACGAAGGUGGUAUUCCUAGGGUGAGGCUUAUCCAUUGCACUCCAAAUGUGCUGACCCCUGCACUUUCCCCUGAAAAAAAAUUGAAAAAUAAAGC
rnacentral:snRNA from 10 species